CAGUAGCCGCGUAAUACGUAGGGUGCAAGCGUUAAUCGGAAUUACUGGGCGUAAAGCGUGCGCAGGCGGUUUGUUAAGACAGAUGUGAAAUCCCCGGGCUCAACCCGGGAACUGCAUUUGUGACUGUAUAGCUAGAGUACGGCAGAGGGGGAUGGAAUUCCGCGUGUAGCAGUGAAAUGCGUAGAUAUGCGGAGGAACACCGAUGGCGAAGGCAAUCCCCUGGGCCUGUACUGACGCUCAUGCACGAAAGCGUGGGGAGCAAACAGGAUUAGAUACCCCUGUAGUCCCUGUCUCUUAUACA
rnacentral:rRNA from 1 species